rnacentral:misc_RNA from 1 species
GGAAAGAAAAUGCUGUACUAAAGGUAUUCGUGUAGAAUUGAUUUAUAAAGUUGUGCCCACCAGUAUGUGUAUUCUGGAUGUGGUUUAGCGUGAUGGACUGUCAAAUUGCUAUAUUUUUUAAUAUUAUUAACUCGAAUAGCAAGUAUAGAAAGCUUUGACUAGUUUUAAUGAGAGUUUUAUGUCUUAAAAUAAUUAACAAUAAUUUGUAUGAAAAUGACAUCCCAAAUACCUAUUUCAGCUCUUCUUUACCAAAUGCUGUUAAAGUAAUUGGAAUAGCUAAUGUUUUUCAAACGGAACAUUUUUUUUAGGAUUUGAGUAUGAUGGAUAAUUAACAUUGUACAUUUUCACUUUCAAAUAGCCAGCUGACUUAUUUUAGUUUAUGUGGCAAUAAAGGGCAGUUAAAUUUGUCUUCAUUGCAACCUUAGCAAUUUUUAGGGUUUUUAAUACCACUGCUGUCUAUAUCAGAAAGAAGUUACUUUUGUUUUGUUUAUUGCUUAAAACUGAUCUAGAUGCAUCUAGAUCAAAAACUAGUGAAG